rnacentral:rRNA from 1 species
AAUGAACGCUGGCGGCAGGCCUAACACAUGCAAGUCGAGCGAAGUCUUCGGACUUAGCGGCGGACGGGUGAGUAACGCGUGGGAACGUGCCCUUUGCUUCGGAAUAGCCCCGGGAAACUGGGAGUAAUACCGAAUGUGCCCUACGGGGGAAAGAUUUAUCGGCAAAGGAUCGGCCCGCGUUGGAUUAGGUAGUUGGUGGGGUAAUGGCCUACCAAGCCGACGAUCCAUAGCUGGUUUGAGAGGAUGAUCAGCCACACUGGGACUGAGACACGGCCCAGACUCCUACGGGAGGCAGCAGUGGGGAAUCUUAGACAAUGGGGGAAACCCUGAUCUAGCCAUGCCGCGUGAUCGAUGAAGGCCUUAGGGUUGUAAAGAUCUUUCAGGUGGGAAGAUAAUGACGGUACCACCAGAAGAAGCCCCGGCUAACUCCGUGCCAGCCGCCGCAGUAACAC